CCUACGGGAGGCAGCAGUGGGGAAUAUUGCACAAUGGGGGAAACCCUGAUGCAGCGACGCCGCGUGAGUGAAGAAGUAUCUCGGUACGUAAAGCUCUAUCAGCAGGGAAGAAAAUGACGGUACCUGACUAAGAAGCCCCGGCUAACUACGUGCCAGCAGCCGCGGUACUACGUAGGGGGCAAGCGUUAUCCGGAUUUACUGGGGGUAAAGGGAGUGUAGAGGGCAGCACAAGUCUGGAGUGAAAUCCCGGGGCUUAACCCCGGAACUGCUUUGGAAACUGUGCGGCUGGAGUGCAGGAGGGGGAAGCGGAAUUCCUAGUGGAGCGGUGAAACGCGGAGAUAUUAGGAGGAACACCGGUGGCGAAGGCGGCUUAAUGGACUGUAACUGACGGUGAGGCUCGAAAGCGUGGGGAGCAAACAGGAUUAGAUACCCUUGGUC
rnacentral:rRNA from 1 species